AGAGUUUGAUCCUGGCUCAGGAUGAACGCUAGCGGCAGGCUUAAUACAUGCAAGUCGAGGGUAACAGGGAAGCUUGCUUCCGCUGACGACCGGCGCACGGGUGCGUAACGCGUAUGCAACCUACCUCUAACUGGGGAAUAGCCCCGAGAAAUCGGGAUUAAUACCUCAUAAUAUUUAUCAUUCGCAUGUUUGAUAAAUUAAAGUUUCGACGGUUAGAGAUGGGCAUGCGUGACAUUAGCUAGUUGGUGAGGUAACGGCUCACCAAGGCCACGAUGUCUAGGGGUUCUGAGAGGAUUUUCCCCCACACUGGUACUGAGACACGGACCAGACUCCUACGGGAGGCAGCAGUAAGGAAUAUUGGUCAAUGGGCGGAAGCCUGAACCAGCCAUGCCGCGUGCAGGAUGACGGCCCUACGGGUUGUAAACUGCUUUUGUAUAGGAAGAAACUCUUGUACGUGUACAGGACUGACGGUACUAUACGAAUAAGCACCGGCUAACUCCGUGCCAGCAGCCGCGGUAAUACGGAGGGUGCAAGCGUUAUCCGGAUUUAUUGGGUUUAAAGGGUGCGCAGGCGGAAUGAUAAGUCAGUGGUGAAAUCCUACAGCUCAACUGUAGAACUGCCAUUGAUACUGUCAUUCUUGAGUACAGUUGAAGUGGGCGGAAUGUAUCAUGUAGCGGCGAAAUGCAUAGAUAUGAUACAGAACUCCGAUAGCGAAGGCAGCUCACUAAACUGUAACUGACGCUCAGGCACGAAAGCGUGGGGAGCAAACAGGAUUAGAUACCCUGGUAGUCCACGCCGUAAACGAUGAUCACUCGUUGUUGGCAAUACAUCGUCAGCGACUGAACGAAAGCAUUAAGUGAUCCACCUGGGGAGUACGAUCGCAAGGUUGAAACUCAAAGGAAUUGACGGGGGCCCGCACAAGCGGAGGAGCAUGUGGUUUAAUUCGAUGAUACGCGAGGAACCUUACCUGGGCUUAAAUGUAGAACGACAGAUUGGGAAACCAAUCCUUCCUUCGGGACGUUUUACAAGGUGCUGCAUGGUUGUCGUCAGCUCGUGCCGUGAGGUGUCGGGUUAAGUCCCAUAACGAGCGCAACCCCUAUCAUUAGUUGCCAUCAGGUAAAGCUGGGGACUCUAAUGAAACUGCCUACGCAAGUAGUGAGGAAGGUGGGGAUGACGUCAAAUCAGCACGGCCCUUAUGUCCAGGGCUACACACGUGC
rnacentral:rRNA from 1 species